ACGGAGGGUGCAAGCGUUAAUCGGAAUUACUGGGCGUAAAGCGCACGCAGGUGGCUGAGUCAGUCGAUUGUGAAAGCCCUGGGCUUAACCUGGGAAUUGCAGUCGAUACUACUCAGCUAGAGUAUGGGAGAGGGUAGUGGAAUUCCCGGUGUAGCGGUGAAAUGCGUAGAUAUCAAGAGGAACACCUGAGGUGAAGACGGGUUGCUGGGCCAACACUGACGCUGAGGCGCGAAAGCCAGGGGAGCAAACGGGA
rnacentral:rRNA from 1 species